rnacentral:rRNA from 1 species
CCUACGGGUGGCAGCAGUAGGGAAUAUUGCUCAAUGGGGGAAACCCUGAUGCAGCAACGCCGCGUGGAGGAUGAAGGUUUUAGGAUUGUAAACUCCUUUUGUUAGAGAAGAUUGUGACGGUAUCUAACGAAUAAGCACCGGCUAACUCCGUGCCAGCAGCCGCGGUAAUACGGAGGGUGCAAGCGUUACUCGGAAGCACUGGGCGUAAAGGGUGCGUAGGCGGGGUAAUAAGUCAGAUGUGAAAUCCUGUAGCUUAACUACAGAACUGCAUUUGAAACUGUGACUCUGGAGUGUGGGAGAGGUAGGUGGAAUUCUUGGUGUAGGGGUAAAAUGCGUAGAGAUCAAGAGGAAUACUGAUUGCGAAGGCGACCUGCUGGAACAUUACUGACGCUGAUGCACGAAAGCGUGGGGAGCAAACAGGAUUAGAUACCCCUGUAGUC